UUUUAAUUUAAUUUAAUAUUUUUAUUUUCAUAGGUAUAUUAUAAAAAUUUUAAAUCAUGAAUAUUAUCAAUGUCAUUUAUUUUCCACAGUUAUAGGUUUUAGGUAGAGAGUAUUAUUAUUAUUGUAAUUAAAAAAUAAGUACAGGAUACUGCAUACUGCCUUAUUAUGAAUAACAGUACAGUAGAAACCCUCUCAUCCACCACUCCAGUUGAUUCGACCAUACUAUUAUAAAUAUGAAUACUUUAAAAAUAUAUUUUGAUUUUCCAAUUUAUGGUAGAUACAUAAAAUUAAUUACCAAUUUACUAUGUCUCUUAUCGCUUGUCCAUAUUAGCACUUGUAUCUAAUCUAUAACCGACUUAUUUUUCAAUAUGAUUAUAUACAGUGUAUCCCUGUAUCCCACCAUGUUAAAUGGAUUUUUCUAGAGCUGUUAAUAAUAAAUAUUUAAUUACUAAAUAGUAAUUAUUUCUAAUUUCUGAACACUCUAUGUCAUUGAAAUUUUGUCUACUAUUUAGAGGGAGA